rnacentral:rRNA from 1 species
GAUGAACGCUAGCGGGAGGCUUAACACAUGCAAGUCGAGGGGCAUCACGAGGUAGCAAUACUUUGGUGGCGACCGGCGCACGGGUGAGUAACGCGUAUGUAACCUGUCCUUUACAGGAGGAUAACCCGGAGAAAUUCGGACUAAUACUGCAUAAUAUUAUUUUAAGGCAUCUUAGAAUAAUUAAAACUACGGUGGUAAAGGAGGGGCAUGCGUAACAUUAGCUAGUUGGGAGGGUAACGGCCUACCAAGGCGACGAUGGUUAGCUGGUCUGAGAGGAUGAUCAGCCACACUGGAACUGACACACGGUCCAGACACCUACGGGUGGCAG